rnacentral:lncRNA from 1 species
CUUUUUGGGAGAAGGACAGUGGAAUGACUCAAGAGGGAAAUCCUUUAUGCUGACAUCUACAAAAGAUUGGCAGUAAUGAGGAUCCAUGUAAAUCAAACUGUCAUCUUGAAAUCCAGCAAAGUAAUACGACUGCUUGGGUUUGCCACCAAUAAUACCAACGCAAUACUCAAGGCUUAAAAUACCCUUUACAAACUCUAAGUAGUCCAUGUUUGUUCUUUCUCCAC